rnacentral:rRNA from 1 species
GACGAACGCUGGCGGCGUGCCUAAUACAUGCAAGUAGAACGCUGAAGGAGGAGCUUGCUUCUCUGGAUGAGUUGCGAACGGGUGAGUAACGCGUAGGUAACCUGCCUGGUAGCGGGGGAUAACUAUUGGAAACGAUAGCUAAUACCGCAUAAUAGUAGAUGUUGCAUGACAUUUGCUUAAAAGGUGCGAUUGCAUCACUACCAGAUGGACCUGCGUUGUAUUAGCUAGUUGGUGGGGUAACGGCUCACCAAGGCGACGAUACAUAGCCGACCUGAGAGGGUGAUCGGCCACACUGGGACGGAGACCCGGCCCAGACUCCUACGGGAGGCAGCAGUAGGGAAUCUUCGGCCAUGGACGGAAGACUGACCGAGCAACGCCGCGUGAGUGAAGAAGGUUUUCGGAUCGUAAAGCUCUGUUGUAAGAGAAGAACGAGUGUGAGAGUGGAAAGUUCACACUGUGACGGUAUCUUACAAGAAAGGGACGGCUAACUACGUG